GGGAACCAGCCAGCAAGCAGCAUCCUCCACGGUCCCUGCUCUACUUCUUUGUUCCCAUCUGAUGGAGGACUCACUCCUGGAAUAGUCAAAGAAUUGUAAAGACCUAAGCAACAAGUCAGCAGACUUCCUGUCAAUCAAUGGUCUGUGUGAUGGUAGAGAGCUUUUCAAAGGCAAAAUACAAAUGGCCGGUAAGCAGGAAGAACAAAUGCUCAACCACGCUCACCAUCAGAGAUGCAGAUUAAAACUAUACUGCGA
rnacentral:lncRNA from 1 species